rnacentral:rRNA from 1 species
AAGUCGUAACAAGGUCUCCGUUGGUGAACCAGCGGAGGGAUCAUUACAGAGUUGCAAAACUCCCACAAACCAUCGCGAAUCUUACCCGUACGGUUGCCUCGGCGCUGGCGGUCCGGAAGGCCCUCGGGCCCCCGGAUCCUCGGGUCUCCCGCUCGCGGGAGGCUGCCCGCCGGAGUGCCGAAACCAAACUCUUGAUAUUUUAUGUCUCUCUGAGUAAACUUUUAAAUAAGUCAAAACUUUCAACAACGGAUCUCUUGGUUCUGGCAUCGAUGAAGAACGCAGCGAAAUGCGAUAAGUAAUGUGAAUUGCAGAAUUCAGUGAAUCAUCGAAUCUUUGAACGCACAUUGCGCCCGCCAGUAUUCUGGCGGGCAUGCCUGUCCGAGCGUCAUUUCAACCAUCAAGCUCUGCUUGCGUUGGGGAUCCGCGGCUGCCCGCGGUCCCUCAAAAACAGUGGCGGGCUCGCUAGUCACACCGAGCGUAGUAACUCUACAUCGCUAUGGUCGUGCGGCGGGUUCUUGCCGUAAAACCCCCCAAUUUCUAAGGUUGACCUCGGAUCAGGUAGGAAUACCCGCUGAACUUAAGCAUAUCAAUA